rnacentral:tRNA from 1 species
GCCUGGAUGGCUCAGUCAGUUAAGCACCUGACUUCAGCUCAGGUCAUGAUCUCAGGAUUUGUGAGUUCGAGUCCCACAUCAGGCU